GCAGAAAAACCUUCAUUUAUGUCUUUAAUGUUGGUAUUAUCUUUUGUGGCACCUUGUUUAAUGUUUUUAUCCUCAACUGAUUACUUGCAACCUCUGCAUGCCUUUUUUUCUUUUUUUUUUUUUUAAUGGUUUUUUUUGGUUUUUUUUUUUUUUAUGGUUUUUUUUUAUGGUUUUUUAUGGUAUUUUUCUUUACGGUUAAAAUGUGAAUAUAUGUGCGCAUAUAUAUGUAUAUUUAUGGUUUUUAAAAAUCAUAUUAACUUUUGCAAGUAAAAACCAGGUCAUACUAUAAUUGAGCCAGUUAAAAAAGUUAGUUUUUAAAAUGUAGCAUUUUAAUGUGGUGAAAAGAAAUAAAAUGAUUACAUAAGUUUUAGACUACUAAAAGAAAGUCAUUUCAAGCAUUUUGUUAAAGGUUUUAACAAAACCUAAAAAUCAAGAGAAAAAGUAAUUGACUGAUAAUAAAUUUUAAAAAGUGGUUUUGUCUUAAAAUAAAAAUGUAAAAGAGAAAAUGCUUUUUGUGCUAUGGCUAUCAAGAGCAAAGAGCUCAACAGGAUGAUUUGCAAUAUUGUGAGUUUGGGGGAGGGGAAUUUCCAGGAAUGCUAUACAUUAUAAAGACAAAGUUGAGAUUUUGAUUGCUUGCAAAAAACAGAGGAAAAAAAUUCGUCUUCUACUACAAUAAGCUGAUCUAAAUUUAAAAGAAAUAACUAUUAUGCCUAAUGUGACUGGUGAUUAUAGAGAUAAAAUACAAGUUCUUGCAUGUGCUGUGGAUAUCUGGGAGAUUAUGCGGCACAAUUACUUUUGUUACCUAUGAAAAAGCCUUUUUUUGUUAAGUAUGUAAUUUCAGUAAAACAGUGGCCUGCCAUGUGGGCAAUGGCCCACCCUGGGACAAAAAAACAAAAACAAAAACAAAAAAAACAGUGUGCCAUCCAGAUAAAACCUGCCUGUGAUCCAGAAUGCCAAAACCAUGUUUUCCUUUUGUCCCACCCCAAUUGGACAACCAGAGGUGAGGAGGUUCCUUAUGGGUAUUGCCAGUUGUUCUCAGUAGCCAUUAGGGCACCCCAGAAAACCUACCUUUUGCCCAAGAGAGCAGAGGUGAGGCAAUUGGCUCAACAGAGACUUAUUAGUCUCCCUCGGGGUUUUCUGAAAAGAGUGCAAAAGGCCUAUCACAUUUAUACACCAGUAGUGCCUAAAAAUGCAAGGGCCAUUAAUAUUGCCUUUGUAACCCAGUCGGCCACUGAUAUUAAGCAAAAAUUGCAAAAGUUUGAGAGAUUUGAGGAAAUGCCCUUCAGUCAGUUAUCAGAGGUUGCUUAAAAGAUAUUUGACAACCGGGAGGACCCUAAAGACCAGGCUUAAGAGGUUUCUGCUGGGCAGAAAAACUGCAUUGGUUGUUGGACUUUCCAUAAAAAAAUAAAAAUAAAUGACUCUUUCCUCCCAGCAGAUGCAAGCCAUCCAACAGAUUCCAGUCCCUGUGACUAAAAACUGGGUGGAAAAAUUUCUAGGAGCCAUAGGACUGACGCAGAGUUUGGGACCCUGGCAGAGGCCUGUUGCCUAUCUUUCCAAGAGACUUGAUUAUGUGGCAGCCAGAUGGCCACCUUGUCUGUGGGUGUUUUCCUCGGUAGUCAUCCUGAUAGAGGAGACACAAAAACUGACUUGUGGACCAAAACUCUUAUUUUGUCUCCUCCUAUUCGCUGGAGACUCUCAUCAAAGCUCCGCCGGACCAAUGGCUGCCCAACUCCCAAGUCAUGCAUUAUCAAGCAUUACUUCUAGAUCUGACUACCAUCAGUUUCAAGGGGACAGCGGCUUCAAACCCUGCCACUCUGCUGCCUGAUGAUGCCCCUCCUUGCCCUUCCACAUCUGUAUUGGGGACCAGACUUGACAGAUGAGCCACUAUUCAGAGUUCCUUUGUAUUUCUCCGAUGGAAGCAAUUACAUUUAUCCAGCCCACUGAGAGAACAAACACCCUGCUGUAGAGCCUGGGUCACCUGUGCUCAUCAAGAGGCUUCACCAUGGAUCUCUUGAGCCAUUGAAAAGGUCCCUACAUUGUAGUCCUCAGCACUCCAACUGCUAUCAAAGUAGCCAGAAAGCCUGCCUCGAUGCAUCAUUCCCACUUCAAGCAGGUCCUGGCUUCCAAAGGCGAUCAACCUAGAGAUAAGUGGACUGUCAUUCCCUCCAAGGACUCUUUAAAGCUCAAGACUGCCAAAUUAGGACUUCCGGGACAACAUGGUGGACAGAUAGCAGAUACUACGGAGGCUCUCUGAAAGGCUUGGUUCAGAAGUCAGGAAUGGUGCGGACUAAGGAGACAUAAGCCGGUAGAGAUAUGCUCUGCUGACUCAGGAACGUACUGGGCUGAGAGAAACCAACUUGGAAUGCAGUCCUGGUGCUAAAACAGGAACAGAAAAGCCUCGGUGUGGAGUCUAGACCCCGCGCCAAAGGAAGCCAUGAUUUGGGUUUCCUGGCGCGCUGCGGCUGGCUGCCUCUACAUCGGCUCGGCAAGGAGAGAGACGCUCAGAAGCUCUGAGAACGGGAGUCUGUGAACGGAGUCGAAAACAGGAUGGCCAGGGAGGCGUACACUGACUUGUGGUGAGGUGAGUGAGAGAAACUGACACUCUACCACAGUUUGACUCCAGUGGAGGACUUUCUGGGCCCGGGCAGUCCUGCGGGAGCAGGGCGCGGUGGCGACUCCAGCCACACAUUCCCCUCUCGGACGGGAUUGGUGAAAAGUGCCUGGCCUGCGUGACGCUGCUGGUGGACUAGGUAGGCUGGCCCAACCCAGAUCCCAGAGCCUGACGGUGGCCCGGAGGGGCGACUCCCACGUAGGCUGCCUAGUCCGUAACUCCCUGGUGCGCUGCGGUGGGCGGGAACACCUAGUCAGCGCAAUUCCAUCAGGCUGUGGCUGACAGGGAGGGAAGCUGGGCCUCCUGUGUAAACUUGCAUAUAUAAGGAACAGAGAAUAUGGGAAAAGGCAGCAACAAGAAAGGCUCCUUGGCCCCCAAUUCUGAGAAACAGGCAAUAGCGGACACCGCACCAAUAGACAUAAAGCGCCAUAUAGAGAGCCUCAUAGACCAAUUCAGGAAUGAAGUUAUCAAUGACCUGAAGCUAGAAGUAUGCAGAAUAGUUAGAGAAAUGCUAAGCACCACCCUGGAAAAAACAGAUGGUGGAAUGGAAGAACAGAAAAAGAGGGGAGAAUUGCUUGAUGGAGAAAACAGAGCAUAGAGUAUGUGAAGCAGGUUCAAAGGGACUAUCAAGAAACUAAGAAGUCUAUCCAAGACUGGCAUAACAGCUUGAAGGAAACUAAGGACAGACUAUCUGAGGGCAUGCUUGUAAUAUGAGAGAAUGAAAUGAAAAACUUCUUAAAAAUAACAAAGAAACAAACAGCAAUAAUACAAAGACAAGAAGACGAUAAGAGGAUCCAUAACUUAAGGAUUAAGAACAUAAAAGAAGAAGUAGGGACACAAACAAGUGAACUACAAAAGCUACUCACAGAAAUAAUCCAGGAGAAUUUUCCUAAUUUAGCAAAAGGUAAAGAUACUCAGAUGUAUGAGGCAUACAGGACCCCAGCUACCUACAACCCAAACAGAGCAACACCAGGCAUAUAAUAAAAAUUCCAGAAAUUCAAUACAAGAACAGAAUAUUAAAACCUGUCAGAGACAAGAAACAGACCACUUACAAGGGAACACCCAUCAGAAUUACAGCACAUUUCUCUGCACAAACCAUCAAAUCAUGAAGAGCGUGGGGGGAAACAAUUCAAACUUUGAAAGAUAAUAAUCUCCAGCCAAGAUAUUGAGAUAUCCUGCACAACUGUCCCUGGAAAUUGAUGGAAAAACAAGGUGCUUCCAGGAUAAAGAGGAACUGGGGGAAUUUGCAACCACCAAUUCAACUCUAUAGAAAGUAUUGCAGGAUAUUCUAAAAAAAAAAAAAAUACAAAGAACCCAGAAAUAGUGGUGGGGAGGCCACAACGAAUGGAGCAGAGAACAAAAUGAAGAAGAAAAACUGACAGCUACUGACAGCAAAAGAGCUCAACAGAAAUGAGACAGAGAAGAUUGGAUGAUAGGAACAGCUAUUUUGGAGAAAAUGACAUCUUAAUAGGUAAUACUGAUUUAGUAUCAUCUUGUUUUGAAGUCUCAUCUAGCUUUUGUUCUUCUGUCUCCAAUGGUCUAAAUAUGUUGUAUCUUAUUGGAGUUUAUUAUGUACGAUAGUAUAAGCAAAAACCUUUUAAAGACAAGAAGAUUAUACAGAAACCAUUGUUCAUUUUCUGUUAGUCGAUUCUAAAUAUUCUGUAAUGCUGUCAUUCUCUUAAAUGGUUUUACAUUUUUUUUUUGACUUUUUCCUUUUUAUCGGUACCAGGGAUCGAACUCACGACUGCCUGCUUACAAGGCAGGUGCUUAUGCCGCUGAGCUAAAUCCCCAGCCCCGGUUUUACAUUGUUUUGAUAAACUUAAUGCUACCGUAUACGAAGUUGUACUCAAGGACUUAAAGGAAAGAUUCAAUAUGGUAAUUACUUUUGGGUUGGAAUUAUCUGGUGGUGAAACACUAUUCUGCUUAAAUGUUUAUGUUUUGAUCUGCGCUGUUUUGCUGUUAUGCCCUUUUUUAUCCCAAUCUCCACUCCAUUAUUUACUCUUUUAUUUUUAUCCAUUUAAUUAAAGGGAAAAAAUAGCAGGAUAUAUUAUAGUAACCCACUUUGACUUUCUAUUAUCUCGAUUUGAAGCCUUGUAUUACUCUCACCAUCUUGUUUUUGACUGAUGUUCCCCUAUUCUGUUUUGCUGGAUAGUAUCAGGUUCGAAAGUUUAGGCAUCAGCUGUGAAGAUAAUGAGAUUCAUUAUGACGCCCAUUCUCGUUGACUUUUAUCUACUUUUGAAGACCUACAAAGUCUCCAAUGGUUUGCUUUUGUCAGUUUUGUUCUUUACUGUUUUGUUCAAUUGUAUUAUAACUAAUGAUAUAGGCAAUUCAAUUAGAGAUAGCUGGAGGCAUUAUGGUAACCACUGUUGAUCACCGUGUAUUAUGUUUUUACAUUAUCUAUUAUGUCCACCCUUUUGACUUGACCGAUUCUGUUCUGUUAUGUCACAUUUGGUUUUACUCUCUUCCAAAAAAGCAAUAAGAACCGUGGGAGCAAUGAAACCCAAAAUGUGUAAUAGUCAUUGUACAAAAGAGAGGAAAAGAAAGUGCUCUAAACUAUAUAACUGCAUGUAUAUUUAAGUGUAUAAGUUAGAAAAUGAUAUCACAGAGUUUUAAAUCAUUGAACAGAACUGUUUGCAGUAUCAUUGUUGGAAUGUCCACUCUACAAGCUUUAAUUUUGUGACUUGAACAAUUAUUUCUAAGAUGGCAAUAUGUAAUCCAUUAACUAGUGAUUUCCUACUGUUCAUUUUUUUCUGUAAAUCUGUAUAACUUGUACCCUUUCACUGUUUUUUUCUCUUUUCUCCUUAAAUAAAAUUUUAAAAAAAAGUAACUAGGAUUUUCUGUGUGACUAGAAGACUGAUGUGCCUCUUUCUAACUUAAAAUGUGACUGCUAGAUGAUAAUUUAUAAAUUUAACCUGUGAGCUUCAAAGAUACAGAAAUUUAAAUGAAGUAUAGCCUUGUCCUGUUACUAAGAAAAGUUACCUAGAUAAUUAAGUGAGAGACAAAUGUCUGGAGACUCUUUUGCCCAGAUUAAGGAGUAAUGCUCCUCCAGUCAGUUGUUCUAUCUAUCUCUAGAGGAGAGUUACUCUAAAAAACCUGAAAAGUACUCUACCACCAAUUCACCUUUUAAUGUAUGCUCCCUUAUAAUACAUGUUUACAAAGUCAUGCUUCCUUCGCUAAACAUUCUUUAUGGAAACAAAGCUCAUGAGCUAUCUGGGAAUAUAGGAUUAUGUGCCAGUUCCAGGGUGGAUAGGCUGACAGAAACUAUGGUCCAUUCUCUCCAGAAGGCAUUCACCUGCCCUGGAGCAGUUUCAACCCAAGAGACACGUGGGGAACAUCUAUCAAACAGGGAAAAAAAAGGACACCUUAUUUUAACUCAUUUUAUGUAUAACUAGAUAGCUCAAUAUCUCUCAUAGCUCAUCAAAUGGUCCUUAGUUCAAUGCCUGGGUACAGAAAAGGUUUCAUACUUAUGCCUUGCUUUUACAUUAUAGACAUGGACAACAAAAUGUCAAAGCCCAUUCUCCUUUGGAACACAUUCUUAGGCACUAGAUGUUCGAGCCUUCCAUGUUGAAAAAGAUCCAAUUGGUAUUUCUCUGCAUGAGUGUGUGGCCUACCUACCCCCAAGAGCCUUAGUGGAAUACAGAGCGACACAGUGCAGUUGGAGUUUGCAAAAGCUGUGUUCCCACUGGAUCACAAACAGUCCCUAUGCAAGACUCUUACUGGGCCCACAACCAGGUGAGUGAUUGGAUUAGAAAUCAUUUCCAGACAUGUGUUCUUGAAGGCUGAAGAAGAGUGAAAACUAAACCAUUCAAUUAUUUUAAGUUAUCAGUUAUUCAAUAAGAAAAGAAGGAACAAUUUUCUGCCUCCUUAGAUGGAUUAUGAGAGGCAUUGAUAAAGCAUACUUCUUUAGAUUCUGAUUCAAUAGAGGGACAAAUUAUCCUUAAAGAUAAGUUUAUUACACAGUCAGCCUCAGCUAUUAGAAAAAAGCUACAAAAGAUGGCUUUUCCUCCAGAUAGUCCACUUGAUACUUUAUUUAUUCAUUCAUUUUGUGUGUGUUGGAGUUUGUGGAUCAAACACAACACACAUUUGACAGGCAAGUGAUUUUGCUACUGAGCUAAACCCCCAGCUCACUUGAUACUUUAGUAAAAGUUGCCUCCUCAGUAUUUUAUAACUGUGAUGAGAGGGAGGUCAAAGAGAGAAAACAAAGAGACUGAGAAAAAGCAGCUGCUUUUGCGCAGCAUUAAGAGAAACAGACCCUAAGUCUGAUUCUCAGGUCUCCAAGAAGAGCUCAACAAUGACAUUCACCUGCCAUCACUGCCACAAGCCAGGUGACCUUAAGAGGGACUGCACUCAAAAGCCCCCUGGGCCAUGCCCUGACUGCAGAGGUGACCACUGGAUGUCAGACUGCCCUCUCAGCCCAAGGCCCCACCAGGGUUCAGAUUCAUCCUACCUUUACCUCUUAGCAAAAUAACAAAUACACCUCAAAACCUAGGCCUCAGUCCGCUUGAAAUGCCUUAUGGAUGCCCUUUCCUCACUGAUGAUUUUCUCUUUGUCAGAGAAACAGAUGCCUUAAAAAAAGACAUCACCUCAUUGGCUAAAUUCCAGCAAACUCUUCAAGAGCUUACAGAAGCUCAGCCUACAGAGAAAGGAAAACCUAUCUUCCACCCUGGAGAUUUAGUGCUGGUAAAAUCCCCUCCCUCAUCAGCCAUUGGGAAGGACCUUACACUGUGAUCCUGUCGACUUCUUCCAUGCUGAAGACAAGAGGCCUGGACACUCGGAUGCAUCACACCUGACACAAACCCUGGAAACCUGAGACUAUCACUGGAUGUGAACAACCACCCACAUACUCCUGUGAACGCACAGAAGACCUAAGAUUCCUCUUCAAGGAGAAAACAAAGACUUCAGACUUAGAGCUGUAUGCUUACCCAUGAUGAAAAUGCCUGGUAUCUAUUGAGGGCCUCUAGACAGGAUCUCUGCAGAAGUAUCUCUGACUGCUGGUCACCACUACAACCCUCUUCAGCCUGAAGAAGCCAGAUCGGUCAUCACCCAUGACGCCCUCAUGGCAGUUCUUGUUACUUCUUCAGAGAGGGGACUGUUAUAAGCAGCUGAGUUAGUUAGAAAUACUACAGGAAGUGAGACAGGGCUAGGUCCUCAAAGGAGCCAGUGCAGAAGCUCAGAUACCUUGCAACUAAGGGGAAGACAAGCACCUGCUGCUGUGGGCCAAGCCUCAAGAUAAAAGACCAUACAAAUACAUCCAUAUCCUAAGGAGUGAAGUUCUAAAGAGUUCCCCAGCACGCUGAGGAAGUAAGGAGUGACAUUCCAAACCUUUAGGGAAGAUUCACUGCUCUCUAAGAAUUCCUGCAUUCUAAGUGAUUCCCUUCCCGUUUUGUCCCCAGUUUAAUCAAUUUUACCUGAACUAUUAAUCUUAUUGGUUAGCCUUAGUUUUGUACCACCUUAUGCCCAUCUGCCUUGUGAGUACCCAGUUUCCCCAUGUUAAACCCUUUGUAUGCCAUGAUUUCCUCGAACCGUCCUGAAAAUAUAGAGUCCCUGGCAACCCGCUUUUGUCUCUCUCUCAGACAGAAGCUUGUUUUCUCUCAAUAAAUGUAUUCUACUCUUAACCUCUGUGGUUCCUAAAAUGCAUUCUUUGAUUUUAGAGGACAUGAACUCACACUGGACAUAGUGGGCUGGGAAU